rnacentral:tRNA from 1 species
GCCUCCUCAGAACAGCAAGACAGCAUGUCAGUGAGUCUCCUAGACUGGAGGUCUUGAGUUUGUGCAUCAGAGAAGGCA